CAGUAGCCACGGUAAUACGAAGGGGGCUAGCGUUGCUCGGAAUGACUGGGCGUAAAGGGCGUGUAGGCGGUUUUGACAGUCGGAUGUGAAAUUCCUGGGCUUAACCUGGGGGCUGCAUUUGAGACGUUAAGACUAGAGUGUGAGAGAGGGUUGUGGAAUUCCCAGUGUAGAGGUGAAAUUCGUAGAUAUUCGGAAAAACACCAGUGGCGAAGGCGGCUUACUGGCUCAUACUGGACGCUGAGGUGCGAAAGCGUGGGGAGCAAACAGGAUUAGAUACCCCAGUAGUCCCUGUCUCUUAUAC
rnacentral:rRNA from 1 species